UGCUUAGAUGCAUUACCUUGUUUAUUGGCACAAGAAAUGAGGUGAGAGAUACUGUGGGCCCCUUAGAAUGAAGGUCAGUGAAGGCAGGGAGCUCUGCCUGCUUGCUGGUCCCCAGGACAGCAAUUUUCAUGGGCUUUGUAAAAUGGAGGCUCUGACAUGGAUGGAUUUAUAACUUGAUGGGCUAUUGAGGGGGUUGACAGAGACUGAGUAGUUGGUAUCUAGUUGACAGGACCAACUCUCUUCCCUUCUUCACUGUCUCCUUAUACAUCCUUUCUCCCACAAGGUGAGCCAUUUAUCAGUCCACAUGCUCCCUAAUAUGAUGUCCUGUCUCACUAGGACCCACAGCGACAAGGCCAAGUGACCACUGACCAAAAGCAGAGAAACUGGGAGCCCAGCCUGCCUGUGGGAACCUGGAAGUCUCUCCUCUUCUCCCCAGCCAUUGGCCUCUUGCAUCUUUAUUGACCAAUCAAGAACCAGUUGGGAAACAGGACCUUCAGUGUUCACAUGAAGAUUCCCAAAUGAAAGCCUCAGAAGCAGCCCCUGCAGGACACAGCCAGUUACGGUGAUAUGCACAGGGGUUUUCCCAGUGAAAGAAAGGCAAGAGGAAAACAAAAACCAGCCGAAUACCAGCACCUUGCAUUCCCCUGGAGAUACACUCCAGCGUUUACCGCGGAGGUGCAAACUUGGUAAUUAGGAUGAGGUGCUGCCGCCAGAGCCCAGGCAAUCACCUCUCUCUGCUUCCUCUUGGCCAUGAUGUGCACAGCCUCUGCUGUAUACUCCUACCAUCACCAAGAGCUAAGCUGCUCCUUCAUGCCUUCACCAUCAUGGUGGGCCAACAUCAUGACCCCACGCAAAUCUCAUGCUUUAAGUUGCUUCUGUGCAGUGUUUUGUCACAGUGGUGUGAAAGGAGGCAAAGCUUCCCUGUUCUUAGCCUUGUAGGUGUUGACUACAGUUUAGAAAUCAGGGUCUUUGAAAUGAAGGACAUGUGACUACUUUCCUAUAAUUGCCAUCAACUUUACUGUCGCCCUUCUGUGACUCUCAACUGCCAGGGGACCUCUAUAAGGGUAGUUCUGAAAGACAGUUGGUGUUUCUUGCUUUUCUCACUGGUGUGACAAAAAUAUCUAGCAACAGCAACUUAUAGAAGGGAAGGCUCGUUUUGGCUCACAGUUCAAAGGGAUGCAGGCUGCCAUGAUAAGGCAGGUGCGAAAGCAUGAGGCAGCUAGCCACACUGCAUAUUUUACCAGGCAAAGAGAGACAAAUGGCUUCAGGUGCUACACUGGCCUUGUCCUUUUAAUCAAGGCCAAGAUCUCAUGCUGUAGCAUAUUGUGUUGGGCCCCAUUUUGGCCCCAGUCUGGGCCUUGAGGACAAACCUGAGCCUGGCUUGAGUUUUGAGACCUGUCUCUGUCACUUUUGUAUUAGGAUGACUCAGCAAGACCUGUUUGGCCCUAAUUCUGCCCUGCCAUUGCUGAUUUAGAGCUUUGCCAAUGGCUCUGUCACUCCAUACUCUCUGUCACCCUUUCCCACCUCUUAUGUCAUCUUGCCCCACCAAAAAUCCCCCUCCCUGUGUUCUGAACUUAUAUAAGCAAGAAGCUGAUGCCAUAAAGUUGAGUUCCUGCUUCGA